AGAGUCACGAGCAGAACCUCGCUCUACCGUCCACAGAGAAACAGGCGCUUGAGUGCACCAAGGCAGGAUUGGAAACAUGGCAGUACAAGGCCAAAAAUGCACUUAUGUACUGCCCUGAAGAAGAGCAUAAAGUUUUUUAAAGCCUGAUGACGUGGGGUAAGAUUCAAAGCACUCAGUUUCGCCUGGAUGGCUCGGAUACGCCACUUGUGGAGAGAAGUCACGGGCCAUCGUUAAAGAGCCUGGUAGAAGAGACCGUUUGGGACUGAAAAUUGCCAAAGUCACUGCAAAAAGUCACUGAAAACCUUGCAAGCCUCACUCCGAAGGGAAUGAAUCCCGCAGCACUGUCUCCUGCCCUUCAGCGUCUAGUAAACAGAUCAUCCAGCAAAUACACAGAUAAAGCCCUGAGGGCGAGCUACACCCCGUCACCUGUGCACAGGAGCAUGGGCUCUAAGACUCCCCUCUGAGGCGCUUCCUCCAGCACACCAACUCCCGGAAAAACCAGAACACCAUGCAGCCACACUGAACCCGGCCUCCAUCACAGACAACCUCCUCCAGCUGCCCAAGAGAAGGAAAGCCGCGGAUUACUUCUGAAUCUAAAGACUGAACAAAAACUUUAACAUGGGCAGGGUCAAAUAUUUAUUAUGGUUUUUUACUUUUUUUAAACUGUGAAACCGGAUUAAUCAUAUUUUUCUUGGACUUCAAUCUGUAAGGAAAAAAGUCUGCAACUUACACCUAAAUACAUUUUAUAGCUAGUGUAUAUUCAGUUUUUCAGCAUCAUUGACAUCAUCUGAUUUAAUCAGGUGAAUCAUGUGUUUCAUUCAGUUCUUUCCUAGAUUUGUUUUGAACAAAAACUGAUACAGUCCUCCUGAAGUUUUAGGAUCUUUUAUGACGUUAAAGACAUCUUUAAAUAUCUCAGGGGCACAAAAAAAGGGUGUUCUACAGAUUUGUGUGUAUUAUUUCACCCUCCAUAUUUUACAUGACCCACUUGUUUAAUCAAUCUUUAGCAUGAAAAUAUGCAAACAGACUCUUUCAGUGAACUUACACUAACACAGUCUAUGAUUGCUGGGUUUGACAGAAGACUCUUUAAUUUGUUUCUUGAAACUGUGUUUGAUUAUUUUUGUAAUAUCUGCUUUUCAUCACGUUUUAUAUGAUGCAAUUGUAAUUAAUCCAUGUUAGCCAAAACAAUACAUAAGUGUUUCAGAAUUGUUUUACUGUUUAAAUUUUAAGAAAAUAAAAUAAUAAUUGACAAUUUACCACA